UUGGGGGCGAACUUGGAGGCGGCCCGCGGAGCGCUGGGAGAGGGAGGGGCGCGGGGGCCGCGCGAGGAACCCCCGGCCCCGGAGCCUUUCCCGUCGCUCUCCAGACAGCCGCGGGGGAAGCCGCCCCUGCGCGCCCAACGCACGGCCAGGCCCGGGGCGGGAAGGGCGGUGGGGGGCGAGAACGCGACGCACCGAAGCUCUCGGGUCCCCAGCGCCUCGGAACCGGCCGCGGGAGGGCGGCCGCAGACGGCCCAGGUCCGGGCCGAAAGUAGGCCCGGGGUCCCCCGCGCGAAGCCCAGUCCGAGCUGGGCCGGGAGGGUGGCCCCUCAGGCUCCCCUCUGUGCAGCCGGGGCUUGCAGAGGACGCCCAGCAGGAUGCUCGAGGCCUCUGGGCACCUGAGCCCUGGGCGGCUCCGCGGAAGGAGAAUGGCCCAGCGGUGGGCUCGGAUACAGGCGGCGGGCAAUGCAGGUGGGGGCCGAGGCCGAGGGAGGAGGCCGGAGAACCCCAGCGGCAGACUCUGCAAACCUCCUCCAGGGGAGGAAGAGAAGCCUGGGAGAGAGGUUGUACUCAGAAGGCUGUUGGAUCACCAGAAGUCAAGAGUUGGGAGCUGGUGGAAAGACUGGAAGACCGGCGCAGGGAGAGGGCACCUGCCAUCUCUGGGAGGGGUGCAUACAGGCUCCCCGAGGAGGAGGGAGAGGUGAUGUCCUUCCUCAGUGGACCUGGAGAUGGUCAGAGUGGAAGGUGGCCUGAAGGAGGGGCUUGGAAUAACUGCCUGAAAGGCCAAGCUGUGGACAUCACCAGGCUGGCUGGGCCAGAGGCCUGUCCAGGGCAGAACUGCUUGCCACGCCCAAAUUCCCUCCUCUGUGAAGGCAGCUGGAUGAUGCCCACACCAGGACCUCAUGAAUGUCUCAAAUCUCUACCUACCGCAUCCGGGUAUCACCCAGAGCCGUCUUUCUAAUCACAUCCAGCUGCCUCCCACUGCUCGCAGGACUGUCCCCAGCCUCAUCUCACUCAAGACUCACAGUCCUCAGGGCCCCUGGGUGGCUCAGUCAGUUAAACAUCUGCCUUCAGCUCGGGUCAUGAUCCCAGGCUCCUGAGAUUGGGCUCUGUGUUGGGCUCCCUCCUCUGCGGGGAGCCUGCUUCUCCCUCU